UAUUGCGGAUGUGAUCGUGGAGUGUGUUUUAAGUUUCAAAUAAUAUUAUGAUUAAUUGUACAGUUACACGUUUCUGUGUGUCCAGAAUUUGCUAACGUGAAUUGCUAUUUAAGUAAUUAAAAUGGAUUCAUGUGUGCUAUCACGGAUAAAUGUACCAACUAAGAAGGUUUACUUCCAAGCGUAUGGCGCCCAUCUCGCGUUUAUUGAAUCGGAUCGAGAACAGAAAUUAAUUCAAGCACAAGCUCUUUCCGCGAUGGGAUCCCAGACGGACCCAUUAAAGUUCUACUGGCUAGGUGGGACAGAUGCCGUGUCUAAGGGCGAAUGUUACUGCACAAACAUAGUAGAACUAAUCACGUGGGGCUAUAAGAUGCAAAAAGCUUUUCCCAGGCAAAAAGACAACAGUGCCAGUACCUGUGAGAGCUAGACAAGGACUAAGUAGUAGUGAUGUCAAACCUUCCUCAGAAACAGACAGCCUAGGCCUUUCGAGAGCAUUUCAUGAAGAUAUGCAGUCAAUUCAUAGAAAACCCGUUGAUGCAGUCUGCCUGUGGACUCCUGUGUAAAUGGACAGCUAGCUGAAAAUUAUGCUCGUUAUGGCUAAGUGUUCCUAGAGUCAGAUGCUGCGCUUCAAAAGAAUCCAUUCGCUUCAAGAGAAUCCAUUUGGAUGUUGCAAAUUUUCUGUACACCAAAUAAAUGAAUACAUGUUUACUUUACUUUAUGUUUUUAUGCCCCCCUUCGAAGAAGAGGGGGUAUAAUGUUUUGUACAUGUCGGUCGGUCGGUCCGUCGGUCGGUCCGUCCACCGAAUGGUUUCCGGAUGAUAACUCAUGAACGCUUACGCCUAGGAUCAUGAAACUUCAAAGGUACAUUGAUCAUGACUGGCAGAUGACCCCUAUUGAUUUUCAGGUUACUAGGUCAAAGGUCAAGGUCACGGUGACUCGAAGCAGUAAAAUGGUUUCCGGAUGAUAACUCAAGAACGCUUACGCCUAGGAUCAUGAAACUUCAUAGGUACAUUGAUCAUGACUCGCAGAUGACCCCUAUUGAUUUUCAGGUUACUAGGUCAAAGGUCAAGGUCACGGUGACUCGAACCAGUAAAAUGGUUUCCGGAUGGUAACUCAAGAACGCUUACGCCUAGGAUCAUGAAACUGCAUAGGUACAUUGAUCAUGACUCGCAGAUGACCCCAAUUGAUUUUCAGGUCACUAGGUCAAAGAUCAAGGUCACGGUGACUCGAACCAGUAAAAUGGUUUCCGGAUGAUAACUCAAGAACGCUUACGCCUAGGAUCAUGAAAAUUCAUAGGUACAUUGAUCAUGACUCGCAAGUGACCCCUAGUGAUUUUCAGGUCACUAGGUCAAAGGUCAAGGUCAUGGUGACUUGACACAGUAGAAUGGUUUCCGGAUGAUAACUCAAGAAAGCUUACGCUUAGGAUCAUAAAACUUCAUAGGUACAUUUAUCAUGACUCGAAGAUGACCCCUAGUGAUUUUCAGGUCAAAAGUCAAGGUCACGGUGACACGACAAAGUAAAAUAGUUUCCGGAUGAUAACUCAAGAAUGCUUACGCCUAGGAUCAUGACACUUCAUAGAUAUAUUGAUCAUGACUGGCAGAUGAUCCAUAUUGAUUUUCAGGUCACUUGGUCAAAGUUCAAGGCCAAUGUCACAAAAAACGAAUUCACACAACGGCUGCAACUACAACAACUGACAGCCCAUAUGGGGGGCAUGCAUGUUGUACAAACAGCCCUUGUUAUUUAUGUUGUCAAUGUGCAUUUUAAAGGGGCCUUUUCACAGAUUUUGGCAUUUUUUAACUUAUUCAUUAAAUGCUUUAUAUUGAUAAAUGUAAACAUUGGAUCGUAAAAGCUCCAGUAAAAAAUCAAGAAUAAAAUUUAAAAAAGGAAAAGAACAUUGCCCGGAGCAGGUUUCGAACCAGUGACCCCUGGAGUCCUGCAAGAGUCCUGAAGUAAAAACGCUUUAGCCUACUGAGCUAUUCCGCCGAGUACACAUACUUAACGUAUUUUAUACAUUAUAUAAGCAAUUUUCGUAGUUGCAAAAAAAUUAACGACCAAAACAGAACUCUCCAAAUUAUUCAAUCGUUACGCGUUGCAACGCUUUAUACUUUUUAGGUUUUAAAAUCGUCAAAAGAUGCGUAUAAUGGCUAUAUUAGAGCAUGGUAAUUGUUCAGUAUUACUGUUUCCUCACAAAUAUCAUAACUAAAACGAAAAUUUGCGAAUCUGAAACAACUUUUUUCAAUUUUGUCAAUUUACCAAAGCGUGAGAAGAUCCCUUUAAAUCAUCCUUUGUUAAUAAUUACAAAAGUUAUGUCCCCUGUUCAUUCCCCCGGAUCGAAUGAUCGGGGCUAUAUUGUUUUUUGCCUGUCUGUAUGUCUGUCUGUAAUCUCUCCAAAAACUUAAACCUUGGUUAAAGUCUUGUGAUAACUUUUGCAAUAUUGAAGAUAGCAACUUAAUAUUUGGCAUGCAUGUGUAUCUCAUGGAGCUGCACAUUUUAAGUGGGGAAAGGUAAAGGUCAUCCGUCAAGGUCAAAGGUUAAAUAUAUGGCUUCAAAGCGGUGCAGUAGGGGGCAUUGUGUUUUACAAACACAGCUCUUGUUAACUUUGACAUUAAUAACAUCAUGCUACGUAUUAAAUAAUGCAUCAUGGGGGUAUUCUACAUCAUUAGUGAUUAUGAUAUAAAAAGAGCUAAUUCUCUGAAGUUAAAAAAUAUCAUACUUACAACCGAUUAUCCAUUUUGUGAAUAUACUUAAAAAAAUACAUAUAUUUAUACGUCCAUACCAUUGACACAUUUACAAGACUGUAAGUAAAUCUCAUCUAUUGGACUGUUAAAGGUGUGGUUUAAAAAUGGAUUUUAAUGGUUCACAUAUUUGCUUGAUAUUGAGCCAGUAGACAAUAAUUUAAAAUAAUGACAUAACUUCUGUUUAUUCUGUGUAACAAUAUAUUUUCACUGACUUACGUCAUAGCUAAAGGGUUUUAAUAUAGGUGAUAAU